ensembl:lncRNA
CUUAUGUGAGAUUAGAUUAGAGGGUGUUUAUGAAGGUCUUCAUGUUAAAUGAUCACAUCAGUGUUCUGGUUCUCCAUUCAGGAUUGGGUUUUAGUUCUGGUUCUCCACUCGGGAUUGUGUUCUGGUUCUCCACUCGGGAUUGUGUUCUGGUUCUGUUUCUCCACUUGGGAUUGUGUUCUGGCUUACCACUCAGGAUUGUGUUCUGGUUCUGUUUCUCCACUUGGGAUUGUGUUCUGGUUCUGUUUCUCCACUUGGGAUUGUGUUCUGGCUUACCACUCAGGAUUGUGAUUGUGUUCUGGUUCUCCACUCAGGAUUGUGUUCUGGUUCUCCACUCAGGAUUGUGUUCUGGUUCUGGUUCUCCACUCAGGAUUGUGUUCUGGUUCUCCACUCAGGAUUGUGUUCUGGUUCUCUUCUGAGGAAUGUGUUCUGGUUCUGGUUCUCCACUCAGGAUUGUGUUCUGGUUCUCCACUCAGGAUUGUGUUCUGGUUCUCCACUCGGGAUUGUGUUCUGGUUCUCUUCUGAGGAAUGUGUUCUGGUUCUGGUUCUCCACUCAGGAUUGUGUUCUGGUUCUCCACUCAGGAUUGUGUUCUGGUUCUC